CUCUGAGGAGAACAAAUCACUCUCCUGAAUCCUGCUUCUCUGCCUGGAGAGCCAGGGUGCCUCCACGUGCCACCGAGCCAGGACCCAAGCUCCACGAGGAUAGAAGCUCCUUUAUUCGGAAGUACCCUCUGUCUCUCUUCAUCUGGUUGCUAACUUGUAUCCUUAAAGGAAUCCUUUAUUAAAUUGGUAAAGGUUCUGCUCCACCUGAUGGCCCACCUGCAGCUGUGAAGACAACGAAGGUGUGUUUCCCACCACCCCACUUCUGUCUGGUCCGCUCCUGCUCAGUCUCGGUUCCACUGAAACUCCAGGUAAAGAAUGAUUUUCAGAGUCAAGAUGAGUGACAGCCUGGGUGGAGGAAGAGGAAUGAGAUCAGUCUGGCCACCACGUCCCUCCUCUCACUGAACUCCAGGCUGGGAUAGCUGCUGAGUUAACCCUUUAGUGGACAUUUGCCAAAGAUGAGAAGUGAUUGCUGAGUGUGCUCCACCUCUCGGUGAGCCCUUCCUCUGAGCCUCCCGCCCACCCCAGUUUCUCUCUCCUGAGCUUGUGUCUGGAUCUACUCUUCUGGCUCCAAGCAUAGAGCCCCAAGUUUCUGAGUAGUCUUUUUCUUUUUUUUUACUGCAUGACUUGACUACAUGACAGAACUGGGUCUUCUUUUUUUUAAAUUGAAGUAUAGUUUAUAUACAAUUAUAUUGGUUUCAAGUAUAUAGCAUAGUUGUUCAACAGGUACACACAUUAUUAAAUCCUCACCCCACUAGUGCAGUUACUAUCUGUCAGCAUAGGAAGAUGGUACAGAACCAUGGCUAUAUCCACGAUCCUGUAUUACCAUCCCUGUGACCAACUUAUAUUAUGAUUGGGAUUUUUGUGCCCUUUUAUCUCCCUCAUCCUCAUUUUGAGCAGUCUUUUUAGAUACCUCAUUCAGACUCCACAGUUUGACUGAAGAUUUUUUACAUUUGAAGUUUCAUGGUAUUUGCUAAACUACUGCUUUCUCUUUCAUUCAAUAAACAUGCAUUGUUGUCUUAAGUUCUUUCCCUGUGCAUGAAAUUUGUCAGACCUGUGGUGCAAUCUAAAGCUUAAGUCCACGUGGCUCUUACUCCUUCUGAGAACUAAAUUCUAGUAGGGAAGAUAAAUUAGAAAUACUUAUUUGACAAAUAUUCAUUGAACUUGCAUGAUGGUAGGUGCUAGGGCUGCAAAGAAGACCUGGACAAAACACUGGCGCUCACGGAGUGGGGAGAAUUGUCAGUAUGGAUUGACAGUGAGAGUCAUUCACUGAGCCUAACCAUGAGACCCCUGGGAGAUGUUUGACAUUCUCAUUUAGACCAGGGAAGGCUUAGUCUUAUAAGACAGUCUUACAAAGGUAGACCUAAGAAUUCUUUAAUAUCUUCUCUUAUAAACAGUUGCUUGAGGGAUCAGUGUAGGAGUCCAUGAAAGGAUGUUUUAGUUAGGUACAGAUUGGAACUCCAACCCAAAUCACAACAACUAAUCUUACCCAACACUGGCCCCCAGUUUCUUCUGGAGCACAAAGGAGAUCAGACAGAUUCUAUGAUGCCUUCCCAUGCCCUGGAUGGAGAUUUUCAGGUACAGCAAGAUAUCACUGCUUUCAGAAGAAAGGAGUGGUGAGAGGGCAGGACCACUAAUUAGUUUUCAUGACAGAGAUCCUAAAGAAGCCAGAGGUGCUUACUAUGAUUUUAGUUAACUGGAAACACACUUGAGUGUUAGACAACCAAAAUUGUUGCUUUCAUCUGAACUUGAGAACAAUUAGAAGUGGUGGGUUUAAUUAUGCUGCCUGCCUCCACACUAAACAAUAUGCACCUAUUAAAUUCGUCCAGAGCUGACUGGGUCUAUGAGACAAUAUAAUCCAGCUCAGAGUGGCAGGACAGCCGACCGUGUAUGUUGUGGCUGCUGUACUGUAGUCUGCAGGUGUUGGUAAGAGUUGUGCUCUAUUUCUUGCUCUUUAAAUCUUUUUGAAACCUCACUGCCAUAUAAUGACUUAGGAUUUUGCAUCCUGAGCAAGUCAUCAAAAAUAUUCACAUUUGGUGCUUAUCCCUAAAAGAAGACUCUCAUUUGGUUAUAAAAGACUGGAUGGCUUUUAAGUGACAGUUCACAAAUUGUCUCCUGUAUGAUGCUGGGACCCUAGAGAAAGUCUAUCAGACAUUUUUAACUAAAAAAAAAAAAUUAGCAUUUAUUUAACAGGCUCCACAUUUCCCCACAAAUUCCUUAAAUCAUUUAUUAAUACGUUACUUUAAAUUAUCUUCAAAGAAUUCUAAGCCACAUCAGCUGUGGCUGUUUGGAGUUCUUGUACUCCAGAAAAGAUAAUGUUAGGUAGAACAUUUGACUCUAUGAUCUUCAUUUUACCAUAAAUUCCAUGGGGGCACUGAAAUAUCAUAUUAAAUAUGGGUAUUGUGCUAUGUUGAAUUGAAUUUUCUCUGGUUACAAGUAACCAAAAAAGAGAGAGAGAUGAAGCCGAAAACCCAAGGGGUAGAGGGACCUGUGGGUGGGAACCGGUGCGUCCCCGAGGGAAGAGUGCUCCCUUUUGAGGAUCUUGAGGGAGUGGCAGCCACACGUCUCUGGGGACCUUGGUGAGCAGGAACACACUCACCUUCAGAGAUCCCCUCCUAGAGUGCUCGCUGCCUCAGAUGCUUCUAGGUCAAAAUGUCCCCUUUCUGGGAGAGAAAAGUGGAUUGUGCCCUCCUCGCUCAGAGUUCAGCUCUAGACCAGCCAGCCAUGGUGAGAGGGUAGAGCGACAUGACAGGAGUAAGACUUAUAGGAAUCCACUCACGGGCACAGUCAGAGGGAGCCUGUCAUUCACCACACAUGACUUUAAUCCUUUAACCACAUAUUACAGUUAAGGGUGAGCUUUAUUUUCCAUAGCAGAGCAAUAAGCACAUUAAAUGAUGUCUUCUUUCCUCAUAUUUUAUUUUCAAGACUUUUUAAAAUUUAUUGAGACCCAGUGCAGAGGUGUGACCAGUGGAGAAUAGAGGAUAGGUCUGGUGUCUUGGUAUGCAAUGGGCGGUAUGUGAAAGGUAAACUCUGUGAUUACUCUGAACAUACAAUCAAGAACAAAUCUCUUAUUUGGUUACUUUUUUAAUAGAAUUUAAAUUUUAAAAAAAGUGGUCCAAAAAUGUAUCAUUAUUGUUCUUUGCCAUGAAUAUUAAUUGGCUUCUAGUCUUAAACGUGUGUAGACCCAUGCAUGUAUAUUUUAGUAUCAUUGUCCUUCAUCACAUCUAAAAGUUAAGCUAUCUACAGUCUUUCUAAAUAUGUAGAUGGAAACCCAUAAUUAAUGUCUAUAUUAUGUGUGCAUAAAUAUAGUUGAUGAAGUCACUAUUUUGGUAGCUGUCUUUGUUUGAAGUCCCAUUUCUUUGUCUUACACAAAUGUCCUAAGUCUGUUUCCCAUAAUAUGGUGCCCAUAACACAUCUACUACAAGACCUGAGGUGAAAAGACUGCAGAGAUGCUUUUCUAGAAGUCUAGAGAACAACUCAGCACGUCUGCAAUGGCUUCAUUACUAGGACAGGGAUUGUGUCAGUCUGUCCCCAUCAUCAGGUCCUGGGGGUGUUAGAAACUAUGAAAUGUAGGCCCAGCCAUGUGUGUGCAAAGAUUAGCUUCCUGCCUGGUUAACAGAUUAUCUUUCU